rnacentral:rRNA from 1 species
CCUACGGGUGGCUGCAGUCGAGAAUCAUUCACAAUGGGGGAAACCCUGAUGGUGCGACGCCGCGUGGGGGAAUGAAGGUCUUCGGAUUGUAAACCCCUGUCAUGUGGGAGCAAAUUAAAAAGAUAGUACCACAAGAGGAAGAGACGGCUAACUCUGUGCCAGCAGCCGCGGUAAUACAGAGGUCUCAAGCGUUGUUCGGAAUCACUGGGCGUAAGGCGUGCGUAGGCUGUUUCGUAAGUCGUGUGUGAAAGGCGCGGGCUCACCCCGCGGACGGCACAUGAUACUGCGAGACUAGAGUAAUGGAGGGGGAACCGGAAUUCUCGGUGUAGCAGUGAAAUGCGUAGAUAUCGAGAGGAACACUCGUGGCGAAGGCGGGUUCCUGGACAUUAACUGACGCUGAGGCACGAAGGCCAGGGGAGCGAAAGGGAUUAGAUACCCCAGUAGUC